UACGGAAGGCAGCAGUGGGGAAUAUUGCACAAUGGGCGCAAGCCUGAUGCAGCCAUGCCGCGUGUAUGAAGAAGGCCUUCGGGUUGUAAAGUACUUUCAGUCGUGAGGAAGGUGUUAAGGUUAAUAACCUUAGCAAUUGACGUUAGCGACAGAAGAAGCACCGGCUAACUCCGUGCCAGCAGCCGCGGUAAUACGGAGGGUGCGAGCGUUAAUCGGAAUUACUGGGCGUAAAGGGCACGCAGGCGGUUAAUUAAGUUGGAUGUGAAAUCCCCGGGCUUAACCUGGGAAUGGCAUUCAAGACUGGUUAGCUAGAGUCUUGUAGAGGGGGUAGAAUUCCAUGUGUAGCGGUGAAAUGCGUAGAGAUGUGGAGGAAUACCGGUGGCGAAGGCGGCCCCUGGCAAAGGACUGACGCUCAUGUGCGAAAGCGUGGGGAGCAAACAGGAUUAGAUACC
rnacentral:rRNA from 1 species